rnacentral:lncRNA from 1 species
CUGCACAAAGCUGAAAGAAACAGUAGACAAUAUCUGAAAUUGAUGCAUGCAUGCUACUAAUAACCUUUACCCAAUCCAACUGGUUAACCAUUUGGUUAACAAUAACUCACAAACUAAAUCCCAAGUAUUGAGGAGACGCAAGCUACAUCCCGACGGGAUCGUCUACUGGGGGAGACGCUAGCUCCUGAUCCAGUUGAUGCCUACUCCGGAGCUCAUCACCCAAGGAGGAGCGACCUUACCUUGGGCAUUAGACUAUUGUGAGUAUGAUCCAAUCCUCGCUUAGAGGAUACGCUGACAAUGACACUCUUUAACUAGCUUUUUAUGCUUGAUUUACUUGUCCAACUCUAGAUGCUAAUUAGUUCAUCUAGUUCUAAUGCCACACAUUUUACAAGCUCAUUGACUUUGUUUAACAUUUACAACACUCGGUGCCACUCAUGCAAUCUAUUCACAAUGUCACUUUAUUACUAUUUAAUAUUCCAGUACAAAUUCAUACAUCUAUAGGGUUCUAUGUUUACUAGUCACUGUUCACAAGUAAUUGUAUUGUCAAGUAUACAAUUAGACCACAUGUCAUAAUUAACCACAUAUCAAGCUUGACCCUAUAAUGCAUGAAUUUCAACUAAACAUAUACAAUCCAUGUAUGCUCAAGAAUGACGACAUAAACAUAGAAGGUCAUUCGAUGACUUCGGAAAGCGCCACCCACCUUUAAAUGAUGCUGGAAUGCGAGAAAUCCACUUUCCACAAUUUAUGAACCAUCCCGAUCCUCGCUCGCGACAAACGAAGCUAAAAUGAGGUUUUCCUCAUUAGCGUGCCGUAGGCUCAUCGGAAUGUCAAUUUGAACUUCCGAGCGCGUCCACUAUUCCUUCAUAGAGGAAUAAAAGAGAUUAUGUUCAGGUCAUAUUUUCAUUUUUACAAACUUUGCAUUUUAGCUCCAACUUGUAUAUAUGUAUAUAUUAUUAACAUAUACAUAUACCUAGUCUUACUAUUAAGCUUCUUAUCAAUUCCGUUCUUUAGGAGCUGAGAAUUAGGGACAAAUAAUACCAACUUCAAACAGGAUUUAGUGGGAUUUUAGCUCAGAUUUUGUCUCCCAACCACUAAUCCUAAGUACACAUAUACAUAUACAUAUACAUAUUACAUAGAGUUAGCUCCAUAGAGCCCCUAACACUUAGAAACUUCCACACUCAAGAAGUUCCUAUUUAACUUUUCUUCACAGCAGGGGGCAUCUUUCCAACCAAAAUUCAAGACCCAUUCAUUGCAAAUUUUGCUCUAACCAUCCAUCAACAUGUAUAUAUAUGUAUAUAUGUAUGCAGUUUUAUAUAGUUUCCAAGGCUUCUAUAGCACUUAUGCAUGUUAGUAAUUAAGAAUUCAUAGCCUAAAUCACCAAGAACUCACAGCCUACUUGUCACGCCCGGAUACCAGCGGAAGCAUAUCCGGUACGUGCACAGACCCGCCAUACACCUGCAGUAUAUAAGGCGUCUACGAAGAAAGCAAGUCGAUAGGAAGUAAAACAAAGAGAGUCCUAUCCUGAUAUCAGAGCAAUGUAAAAGUCGAUAUACUAUCAGUAAAAGAACAAAGAGUAUACAAUCCAAAAUUUGAGCAAAAGGAGAAGAAGUAUGAACUAUAACAUCUGGAUCUACAACUCAUAUACAACACAGGGUACACACAAACAUCUAUACAAUGGUAGUCACUCUAUACAAUGGACAUCACCCUCGGCCGUAGCCCGAGUAGCAAGGUAAUCGACUAGCACGCUCCUAGCAAAGUCUAGCUAGACGCGACUCCCUUGCCACGAUCCCUAGCCUCUCCUGUAGAUGGCUCUGUAAAAACAACCAUAAAAAGGGCGUGAGAACUAUUAACAAUAGUUCCCAGUGGGUAAGCCGCCAGCCUCGGCGAAUUACACCACUAGGCUCAUGAUGUACUAAAUGGAAAGUAAAAGCAAUAAUUGCAUGAUGCUAACAAGUAAUGAGCAUGUAAUUGCAGGAUACCUUUCUAAUGCUAAGCAAUUAAUAAGCAUAUAAACAACAUGUAAUAGCUUUCUACAGUAAUGAAUUGAACAAUAAAAGCAUAGCAGCUACUGUAAGCAUGAACAUAAAUAUGAAUGUGUAAGCAGAAACUAUACACAAUGACCGGUGAUCAUUCAUUACUGUCCAAUGUCCUUUAGCACUUUCUUUUCAUUCACAGGGACCUACCCAAGGUAGUCCAGCUUGCGCCGCGCCUAAUGGCCCCGUGGUAGUAUACACUCCCCACGGCAAUCCACUUCGGCACCCAAUCCCGCACGGGCGAGCAACUGUUGCGUAGGUCAACUCCGGAGUGCCGGCUUGUAGGGAGCGACCCUCACAAGCGUGUGCGAAUGAGCACGAUGGCAAGCAAGCAUAUUUCACAGUCCACAGGUCUCAAUUAUCAUGUUUUCAUUUGUAAUGUUCUUACCCUCGAUCCUCUGAUCGGAAUUUCAAAACACGAAUAGUAACAAGAACUAGUAUCCACUAGAUUGUAAAUAUGUAAGAGUAAUGCUAAAUCACAUGGCAUUAUAAUCUUUCCACUAUUAUGGCACUGUUAAUAUAAUCAUAAGCAUGCCAUAGUUCUUUACUUUAGAGUCAAGAGAAUGUUAUUGUUCUCUACUUUAUAAGUGCAUCCUACACUUGCUCAUAAGUCAUUCAAUUGAAUUGAAUAUAAAUAUAAAUAUAAAUACUUUCAUGUAUAUGUCUUCUCUACUUUAUAGAGAUUUCAAUUCAAUUUUACUUCUCAAGUCCUAUAUCAAACACAAAAGCUCACAACAACACCAAUUCUAUAGUACAUAUAGAUCAUAGGGGAGCUCCACUUGCUCUGGUUAGGUCCGACCCACCUAGUACUAGGCUCCAAUAGUCACAAGAAGUCCCAAUAGUCAGCUCAACAAGGUUCCAAUCCUGCUGAACACAAACAUUAACACCGCGUCAAAAUGACGACCGAAAUGUCCGAUUUCGGCCUAAUUUACACUUAGUACAAGGUAAUAGCUUGAAUCCCUGCUUUGGGCUAGUGUAAUACCUCAAGUGUAACCUCCAGGAGUCCUCACAAGUCAGUCGAAGACGAUCCAAGGCUCGAUCGCAAUCUCGCUGCGAACAACGUCAAAACGGCGUCAAAAUGCUUGUAUAUAAGCUUAUAUGGUUCAAUUCUUGCGAAAUUGAAUUUCUAACAGAAAUUCCUGCUUACCCUUGGUUAGAACAGCUUUCAAAUCAGCUUCUAAGAGUACAAGUUCAGCUCAACGAAGCUCGAAGACCUGCUGCGAAGAAAUAAUCCCCAAUUGCAUCAAGUCGCUCCAAUAGUUGCAUUUAGUUCCAAUUUAGCUUCAUAAAUGGCUAAUUCUCUCAAUUAACCUUCAAAGAAGCUUAUCCCUAGUCUAAGGAGCUUAAUUCACAGCUAAGUAAUUCAUUUUUAAUAGCUGAAUUCUCAGUUAUGUCGGUUAGAAGCAAAAACUCAAACUCAAUACUCAAAUCGACAAUUAGAAUGCCGAUAACGGAAAACAUCGAGUCGUUUAUCUUCUCAAGCUUCCAACCAGCGAACUCUUGGUUCGGGGAUGCAAAAAUCCCUCCAAAACGCUCUCUUGCAUGUGCACAAAGGCGCUGCGACGCUCGCAACCAGCGAAGAACGCGCGCGACGACGAAAACGAGCGAAAUCGGCGACUUCUUUGUAGAGAGAGAAAAACCCUAGAGAGAGAGAGAGAGAAAGAUGGGAGAACACUCCUUUGGACUCCAGCAGGCUCCACUGAGUAUCCCUGGUCGAGCUGGGGUCUUAAAGAUAGAGAUCAAGUGUGAAAUUACCGAAAUACCCAAGCUGCCACGUUUCUGCAUUGUGUACCGGUACAAGCUAAUGGCUGUACCGGUACAGCAAGCAGAAAAAGCUGGUUUUCGCCCGAGCAAUGCACUUUCUUGCUUCUAGCCUUCCAAGCACUCUUUAACUUAUUCAAAAACUUGUUCAAGUCCUAUAGAACAUGUAGAAGAGUUCCACACAUCAUUCCUCGCACUCGAAUUUCGCAAUUUGUAAAAAUUCAGUAUAUUACAUUUCACCCCUCUUAAAAAGGAGUUUCGUCCGCGAAACUUUAGAUAAUUACCUUAAGGUUCAGUCGAGAAAAGAUAGUGGUAGUGCUCUCGCAUUGCACUUUCCAGUUUCCAAGUGGCUUCCCGUUCAUCGUGAUUGCUCCACAGUAUCUUCACGUAAGGUAUUUCGCGAUUUCGAAGCCGUUUCACCUCUCGAGCUAAUAUUUUCACUGGAUGCUCCUCAAAGCUCAAAUCUUCUUGUAAAUCCACUGGAGUACGUCCCAAUAUGUGGGUUGGAUCAAAAACAUACUUUCGCAGUGUAGAGACAUGAAACACAUUGUGCACUCCCGAUAAGUUUGGCGGCAAGGCAAGCCGAACGCUACGGGGCCGAUCCGCUCCAACACCUCGUAGGGUCCGAUAUAUCGAGGACUCAGCUUCCCUCCUAUGCCAAAUCUCUUAACUCUUUUCGUUGGUGAUACUUUCAGGAAUACAUGAUCGCCAACCUGAAAUUCCAGUUCUCGCCGACGUUUAUCCACAUAACUCUUUUGUCGACUUUGUGCUGUCAGUAGACGUUCUCGUGCCAGUCGAACUUUAGCUUCAGUUUCGUGCAGUAUAUCUGGACCCAAAACUAAUCUUUCUCCCACUUCGCUCCAAUGAAGUGGUGAUCUGCACUUUCUACCAUAAAGGGCUUCAAAAGGUGCCAUCUGAAUACUUGCUUGAUAACUAUUGUUAUAAGCAAAUUCAGCCAUCGGCAGGAACUGUGGCCAACUGCCCUGGUAAUCAAUCACACAGGCCCUCAACAUAUCCUCAAAGGUCUGGAUAGUACGUUCGGACUUCCCAUCACUCUGGGGGUGGAAAGCAGUACUAAAAUCCAAUCGAGUACCCAUGGCCUCCUGUAAACUCUUCCAGAAAUGUGAAACGAAUCGGGUGUCUCGAUCUGAAACAAUCGAAGCAGGUACUCCGUGUAAACGCACAAUUUCAUCAAGAUACACUUGUGCGAGUCUCUCCGCCGACCAGACUGUAUGAAUCGGAAUAAAGUGGUCAGAUUUGGUCAAUCUAUCAACAAUUACCCAGAUUGUGUCGUGACCUGCUUGUGAGCGAGGUAAUCCCACGAUAAAAUCCAUAGUGAUCCUCUCCCACUUCCACACUAGUAUGGGUAAGCUCUGAAGUUUUCCCGCAGGAAGUCGAUGCUCAGCCUUAACCUGCUGACAGGUUAAGCAUCUGGCCACAAAAUCUGCAAUUUCCUUUUUCAUUCCAAGCCACCAGUAAUUCAGCUUCAAAUCUUUAUACAUUUUCGUACUCCUAGGGUGUAAAGCAUACGGCGCCCGAUGUGUUUCUGUUAGAAUCUCUUCCUUAAUACCAGGAUCCGCCGGUACACAAACUCUAUCCCCGAUUGGAGAACCCAGAACGGUGGUGGGUUUUACGAAUUCGGCCCAAUUCUCAAAUCAGGAUAAUAUAGAGUAUAUAUCCUGAUAGAUCCCAGAGUGUCAACGUUUCAAAUAUGUCUAGUAUUUUCGAAUUUCAUAGACAAAUGAGUUUUUCUUAAUUUGUACUCUGUUGCAUCUACCAACCUCAACGAGUUCCUAAUACUAAACUGAUAGGAGAUAGUAGGCCGUUUUCGAUUACAACAUCGUCUACGAAAUUCAGCUUUUAGCUGCCUUUUAAACCGCUACAGCUAUUGAAACGUUGGUAACAACCAUUUCCUUUACCUCGUUAACUUCAACCUUCAACAUCGAGGAUUGUGCGGAACCUCGGAAUACAGCAAUCACCACGUUGGAUGGGACUAGCUAGCUUAAUUUCUUUUCGUUCGAGUUCUACUUAAAAACGUUUUCGAAGUUCGUUUUUAGUGAUAACUAAUACAACCACUAAAAGCUCACCUACUAGUCCCUGACAACUUUANNNNNNNNNNNNNNNNNNNNNNNNNNNNNNNNNNNNNNNNNNNNNNNNNNNNNNNNNNNNNNNNNNNNNNNNNNNNNNNNNNNNNNNNNNNNNNNNNNNNNNNNNNNNNNNNNNNNNNNNNNNNNNNNNNNNNNNNNNNNNNNNNNNNNNNNNNNNNNNNNNNNNNNNNNNNNNNNNNNNNNNNNNNNNNNNNNNNNNNNNNNNNNNNNNNNNNNNNNNNNNNNNNNNNNNNNNNNNNNNNNNNNNNNNNNNNNNNNNNNNNNNNNNNNNNNNNNNNNNNNNNNNNNNNNNNNNNNNNNNNNNNNNNNNNNNNNNNNNNNNNNNNNNNNNNNNNNNNNNNNNNNNNNNNNNNNNNNNNNNNNNNNNNNNNNNNNNNNNNNNNNNNNNNNNNNNNNNNNNNNNNNNNNNNNNNNNNNNNNNNNNNNNNNNNNNNNNNNNNNNNNNNNNNNNNNNNNNNNNNCUAAACUCUUAACCCGGCUUAAGCAUUUUGGGUGGUGGCAAGACCCAAGAGGUUAAGAGAGUUAAGCGUGCUAGGACGGGAGUAGUCCUAGGAUGGGUGACCCCCUGGGAAGUUGGGGCGUCUCAGCAACGCUCGCCGUAGAGGUAGUGGCGCCAAAGCUUUAAAGCAAAUACCACAGCUGCCAAUUCCAGAUCAUGUGUAGGGUAGUUCUUUUCAUAAUCCUUCAACUGGCGAGAUGCAUAAGCAAUUACUCUGCCAUUCUGCAUUAAAACACACCCUAACCCAUUCAGCGACGCAUCGCUGUAAAUUACAUAAUCCAUUCCAGUAACCGGCAGUGCUAGAAUCGGGGCGGUAGUUAAUCAUUUUUUCAGCUCCUGAAAGCUUCUUUCACAUGCUUCACUCCACAGAAACUUAGCUCCUUUAUGUGUGAGUCGAGUGAGAGGGGUAGACAUCUUCGCGAAUCCUUCUACAAAAUCUUUGGUAGUAUCCCGCCAAACCAAGGAAACUCCGAAUCUCUGUCACGCUGGUCGGCCUGGGCCAAUCCGUAAUUGCUUCAAUCUUCUUUGGGUCCACAGCUAUCCCAGUUUCUGAAAUCACAUGGCCCAGAAAUGCCACUUCUCGAAGCCAAAAUUCGCAUUUCUUUAGCUUUGCAAAUAGUUCCUUUUCUCGAAGUACUUGUAACACCACUCUCAAAUGGUUUUCAUGCUCCUCAUCGCUUCGAGAAUAGAUCAAGAUAUCAUCGAUGAAGACGACCACAAACCUGUCCAGAUAGGGUUUAAAGAUAUGGUUCAUUAAAUCCAUAAAGGCUGCUGGGGCAUUUGUUAAUCCGAAUGGCAUGACUGUAAAUUCAUAAUGCCCAUACCGUGUCCUAAAGGCGGUCUUAGAGACAUCUUCAGGCUUGAUCUUAAGCUGAUGAUACCCAGAUUGCAAAUCAAUCUUGGAGUAUACUUUCGAUCCUUGCAGCUGAUCGAAUAAGUCAUCAAUUCUGGGCAAUGGAUAUUUAUUCUUGAUUGUGACUUUGUUGAUUUCUCGAUAAUCCACGCACAAUCGAAGAGAUCCAUCCUUUUUCUUGACAAAUAACACCGGUGCUCCCCAGGGCGAUACACUGGGUCAAAUGAAUCCUUUAUCUAACAGUUCUUGUAACUGUGCUUUCAGCUCUUUCAAUUCAGCGGGUGCCAUCCUAUAAGGCGCUUUAGAAAUAGGGGUAGUCCCAGGAACAAGAUCAAUCACAAACUCAACUUCCCUAUCAGGUGGCAUGCCCGGCAAUUCAGCUGGAAACACAUCCCCGAAUUCUCGCACAACCGGGAUAUCAUCAAUCUUGACGGCUUUUCCGUCACUCACAGAAAUGCUAGCCAAAUAUGCUACACAACCUCUCCGUAUCAACUGUCGUGCUCUCGACGAGCUAAUAGUCAUUGCGAACAAUGAACUCUGACACCCCUUAUAAACAAACUCUUGCUGACCUAGUUCCCUAAAGGUUACUGUUCUGUUCGUGCAAUCUAUAGUGGCAUAAUACUGUGUCAACCAAUCCAUACCCAAUACUACAUCAAACUCUCCUAGUUUGUGUAGUGCUAAUAAGUCUACUGGCAUAAUCCAGUCGCCUACCCUGACUGGGCAGCGAGGGCAAUACUCACAAAUAUCCAGGGUAUGGUUGGGCACGAUCACUCGUCCCGGAUACAAAGUAGGUACUAACCGUAUGCUAUGCAACUCGGCAAACAGCCGAUCAAUAAAGGAAUGUGAGGCACCAGUAUCAAAUAAUGCACGAACACGAACAUCAUGAAUCAAAAUAAUACCUGCUACGACCUCCUAUGCUGCUGCGGCGCCCUCAGUCUGAGCGGCAUACAUCCGCCCACUUGAACCCUGCUGCGAACUCUCCGACUGCCGCUGUCCUGGUGGUCGCCUAGACUGAUAGGGUGCUGUCAGGGUCCCCUGGCUCGGAGCUGAAGAUGCAGGUGCAGAAGCUGACGAGGGUGCAGGCAAAGAACCUCUCGGGCACUCUGAGCGAAAGUGGCCCUCCUGACCGCAGAGAAAACACCUGCCCCCACGUUGUGGACACUGUGGCGGCACGUGAGGCCCACCACAGAUAACACAACGCGGCGGUCGACGACGCUCAGGUGCUCCACGGGGGGCUGCUGAAGAACCUCGACCCCUCGACUGACCUGACUGGCCCCUCGGAUACUUUGGUGGCUUUCUGAAGGAUUGCUGACCACUGCUCUCAACUGCCGGUCUUUUUCCUUUUCUUCGAUCCACAAUAUCCCUUUCCUUCAUAAUUUCUGCCCCCUUCUCAACAAUCAAGGCCCGGUUCACUACAUCCCUAUAAGUAGAGAGGUUUGACGCCUGGACCAAUCUGAAAAUCGCAGGUCGCAAACCCACCUCAAAGAUACGAGCCUUGUCCUCAUCAUCUCUAACCACAAAAGGAACACAGUGCAGUAAUCGUGAGAACUCUCGCUCGUACUCAGCCACUGUCCUGUCCCCCUGUCUCAAGUUUCUCAAAUCCCUUUCCAUUUGUCUCUUUACACUCUGAGGAAAAUAGUAGUCAACAGUAAUUCCUUGAACCUCGUCCAGGUGAUAGCGGACAAAUCAGCACGGGGGUCCUUACGGAUAUCCACCCACCAUCUGUAAGCCUCGCCAUCAAGGUGGUGUGUCGCAAACCAAACUCGGUACCGCUCCUCAACAAAGGUAUCAUAAAAUAACUUCUCCAUAUGCAUCAGCCAUUUUUCAACCACCCAAUGAUCGGCUUUUUCCCCGUCAAAGAUACGAGGGUUGCAGCGACGGAAUUCAUUUAGUCGCUCCAUCAUCCGCUCUCGCACCUCAACCCCCACCAUCUCAGGUAACACUGUCCCUGCUGCAGGCACUGGUGCUGCUCGUGGCACUACUGUCUCCUGUCGGGGCUCUACCCUCAGGGCUACUGGGGGUGUAUCUGGUACAGAUGACUGUGCUCUCGCAGUCGUGUCCUUCUCUGGCGCUGUAGGUAUAGAAUCUGGAAUCUCUUUGUCGGCCGUCUGCCGCAGUAACAGACCUCUAACCUCUUUAUCCUGUCCUCCUGUCGACGCGCAGCGUCCAUCUGCUGUCGCGCUGCCGAUGCCUGCCGUGUCACUAGCUGAGUCAACACUGCGAGCUGUUCCUGUAACUCCCUGACCUCACUGGACCCCGAAGUGACGGAAGUCUCUACUUCUUCCGCAGCGGCCGCCUAAGCCGCCCCGGCGGUCCCAGAACGAGUCGUAGGCAUCUUGAGCUGCAGCACAAAAUGAAUAUAGAUUAAUAAAACCUAUACUAUUGACCCUUUACUUCAGAUAAAAAAAAAAUCAGCUAAUUAGCGAAAGUAAUGAGAUGUAACGCAUACUAACUUCCGAUGUUACGUUGUCGGCCGCCAACGUGACCCUCUGCAAAGUUAGUAAUUGCACAUCCCAAUCAAACUCCUACUAGUCGGAGUUUAUAAAUACCCAAUAAAAAUACUUUCGCUAACCACAACCUCGACUAGACGUCGUCUCUUACGAGCCUAUCCUUAUAGUCCAACCAGCUUAAGGUUUGCUAGGUCUACGAAGACUCAACCCUAGGCUCUGACACCACUAUAAUCUGUCACACCCGGGUACCAGCGGAAGCAUAUCAGGUACGUGCACAGACCCGCCAUACACCUGCAGUAUAUAAGGCGUCUACGAAGAAAGCAAGUCGAUAGGAAGUAAAACAAAGAGAGUCCUAUCCUGAUAUCAGAGCAAUGUACAAGUCGAUAUACUAUCAGUAAAAGAACAAAGAGUAUACAAUCCAAAAUCUCAGCAAAAGGAGAAGAAGUAUGAACUAUAACAUCUGGAUCUACAACUCAUAUACAACACAGGGUACACAAAAACAUCUAUACAAUGGUAGUCACUCUAUACAAUGGACAUCACCCUCGGCCGUAGCCCGAGUAGCAAGGUGAUCGACUAGCACGCUCCUAGCAAAGUCUAGCUAGACGCGACUCCCUUGCCACGAUCCCUAGCCUCUCCUGUAGAUGGCUCUGUAAAAACAACCAUAGAAAAGGGCGUGAGAACUAUUAACAAUAGUUCCCAGUGGGUAAGCCGUCAGCCUCGGCGAAUUACACCACUAGGCUCAUGAUGUAUUAAAUGGAAAGUAAAAGCAAUAAUUGCAUGAUGCUAACAAGUAAUGAGUAUGUAAUUGCAGGAUACCUUUCUAAUGCUAAGCAAUUAAUAAGCAUGUAAACAACAUGUAAUAGCUUUCUACAGUAAUGAAUUGAACAAUAAAAGCAUAGCAGCUACUGUAAGCAUGAACAUAAAUAUGAAUGUGUAAGCAGAAACUAUACACAAUGACCGGUGAUCAUUCAUUACUGUCCAAUAUCCUUUAGCACUUUCUUUUCAUUCACAGGGACCUACCCAAGGUAGUCCAGCUUGCGCCGCGCCUAAUGGCCCCGUGGUAGUAUACACUCCCCACGGCAAUCCACUUCGGCACCCAAUCCCGCACGGGCGAGCAACUGUCGCGUAGGCCAACUCCGGAGUGCCGGCUUGUAGGGAGCGACCCUCACAAGCGUGUGCGAAUGAGCACGAUGGCAAGCAAGCAUAUUUCACAGUCCACAGGUCUCAAUUAUCAUGCUUUCAUUUGUAAUGUUCUUACCCUCGAUCCUCUGAUCGGAAUUUCAAUACACGAAUAGUAACAAGAACUAGUAUCCACUAGAUUGUAAACAUGUAAGAGUAAUGUUAAAUCACAUGGCAUUAUAAUCUUUCCACUAUUAUGGCACUGUUAAUAUAAUCAUAAGCAUGUCAUAGUUCUCUACUUUAGAGUCAAGAGAAUGUCAUUGUUCUCUACUUUAUAAGUGCAUCCUACACUUGUUCAUAAGUCAUUCAACUGAAUUGAAUAUAAAUAUAAAUACUUUCAUGUAUAUGUGUUCUCUACUUUAUAGAGAUUUCAAUUCAAUUUUACUUCUCAAGUCCUAUAUCAAACACAAAAGCUCACAACAACACCAAUUCUAUAGUACAUAUAGAUCAUAGGGGAGCUCCACUUGCUCUGGUUAGGUCCGACCCACCUAGUACUAGGCUCCAAUAGUCACAAGAAGUCCCAAUAGUCAGCUCAACAAGGCUCCAAUCCUGCUGAACACAAACAUUAACACCGCAUCAAAAUGACGACCGAAAUGUCCGAUUUCGGCCUAAUUUACACUUAGUACAAGGUAAUAGCUUGAAUCCCUGCUUUGGGCUAGUGUAAUACCUCAAGUGUAACCUCCAAGAGUCCUCACAAGUCAGUCGAAGACGAUCCAAGGCUCGAUCGCAAUCUCGCUGCGAACAACGUCAAAACGGCGUCAAAAUGCUUGUAUAUAAGCUUAUAUGGUUCAAUUCUUGCGAAAUUGAAUUUCUAACAGAAAUUCCUGCUUACCCUUGGUUAGAACAGCUUUCAAAUCAGCUUCUAAGAGUACAAGUUCAGCUCAACGAAGCUCGAAGACCUGCUGCGAAGAAAUAAUCCCCAAUUGCAUCAAGUCGCUCCAAUAAUUUGCAUUUAGUUCCAAUUUAGCUUCAUAAAUGGCUAAUUCUCUCAAUUAACCUUCAAAGAAGCUUAUCCCUAGUCUAAGGAGCUUAAUUCACAGCUAAGUAAUUCAUUUUUAAUAGCUGAAUUCUCAGUUACGUCGGUUAGAAGCAAAAACUCAAACUCAAUACUCAAAUCGACAAUUAGAAUGCCGAUAACGGAAAACAUCGAGUCGUUUACCUUCUCAAGCUUCCAACCAGCGAACUCUUGGUUCGGGGAUGCAAAAAUCCCUCCAAAACGCUCUCUUGCACGUGCACAAAGGCGCUGCGACGCUCGCAACCAGCGAAGAACGCGCGCGACGACGAAAACGAGCGAAAUCGGCGACUUCUUUGUAGAGAGAGAAAAACCCUAGAGAGAGAGAGAGAGAAAGAUGGGAGAACACUCCUUUGGACUCCAGCAGGCUCCACUGAGUAUCCCUGGUCGAGCUGGGGUCUUAAAGAUAGAGAUCAAGUGUGAAAUUACCGAAAUACCCAAGCUGCCACGUUUCUGCAUUGUGUACCGGUACAAGCUAAUGGCUGUACCGGUACAGCAAGCAAAAAAAGCUGGUUUUCGCCCGAGCAAUGCACUUUCUUGCUUCUAACCUUCCAAGCACUCUUUAACUUAUUCAAAAACUUGUCCAUGUCCUAUAAAACAUGUAGAAGAGUUCCACACAUCAUUCCUCGCACUCGAAUUUCGCAAUUUGCAAAAAUUCAGUGUAUUACACUACUCCCUCUCUAAAUUAAAUACCACAUCCUUAAACAGGGAAGAAGCUCAACAUGUCUCAGGUUAUUUGUCUUAUAUGGAUACAAUUGACAUGUAACUUACUUUCAUGCUUAAUGGAUUCCAAGGGCUCUAACAUUAAAAUCUGAAAGUUAAUCAUUUUUUAGAACCUUAAUAUGCAACAUCUAAACCAGGAACAAGCAUAAUCCAUCUCAGAUUUUACUCUAAUCAUUCAUUCAAAUGUACAUUUAUAUGCAUAUAUGCUGUCCCUGCAGAAUUUCUCAGCUCCAUACACUAUUAUACCCACUUUAGCAAUCUAGAACUCUUUCGAAGCAAACAAUAUGUAAGGUACCGGACUUCUAAAACUAUGAAGUUACGGUGUACAUUUAAAUGGUUCCGGUGAGGUUGCGGUGGAAUGUAACAUACCGGAUUUUGAGUAUAAAGGUGAAAAUAAAUAAAAAUAGUGUGAUAUACUAUUUUAUUGGGUUUGGAGAAGUGAAAUAUAAAUUGAAAAUAAUCUGUGCUGAAAUCGGAGCGAAAACAGAAGAUUUAGAAUUUUCUGUGAGAAACGGGACAAAUAAAUUAGCAGAAAAUGUAUAGUGUCAAAAAAUUAUGAAAACUGGAGGAUAUGUCAGAAAUAUUUUUAUGAGGCUAGAUUUAAAGUUUCAUACCAUUCUGACACCUGUAGAGUGAGAAAUAAAAUCCGACAGUUAUCUGAUUAAGAUUACAGUUCGGCACAGUUUUCGAUGACCAAACGGGGUUGAAACUGAAAACUUAAGAUAUAUUCUUACUCAGUACGUUAAACUGAGCCUGCCUGUCAAAUUUGAGAGCAAACGGAUGUUCAGAAGAGCUCCAACGACUCCGAACUGCUAAACUGCUGCCCGAGGUGAAUAGUGUAAAGUUGCGGGACAGAUUUGUAAAAAAAAGGAUUAAAUCCCUUUCUUCUUCUUCCUCCCAGCCGAACACAACCCGCACACACACACAACACACACGCAUGGAAAGGAAAAGAGAGAACUUUCCUUUCUCUCUCUAAAUCUCUCCCAAAAUCAAAGGAAUUGGUGGAGAUUGAAGUUUGGAGUUGAAUCGUCUUCAUCUUCUUCAUCUUCUCUAUGGUUUGGAGCUAAUUUUGAGGUGAGCUUCUUGAACCCUCUCAUGGUAGAUCUCUAGGAUUAGCUUUAUAUGCUCUAGAGAUGGAUUUAGUAGAAUGCUUAGAUGCUAAUUAGAGGUUUAUUGCUUGAUUCAUGAAGUUAAGUAGUGGAUUUAGCUAUAAUGGCAUCUAGGGCUUCAAAAAUGGCUUUUUUGCUAAUAGUAGGGUUUGAUCUCAUUUGACCAUCCGUAAACCUAAUUGUUAGGUAAACAAAUGCGUUGGCGAAGACGGUUCGACGAUUCGUCGAGCCGGUGCGAAGUUAUUAAAGAAACGGACGUUUAGGCUUCGUUUCCGCCUGGAGGGCUGAGGCGACGUCGUAAAAUCAUGGAAUCGGUUUGAGGCACCGUAACAACAAAAUGAAGACCCUCUUUGCCCGAGGAUGCGAAGCAAUGCGCGGUUGGUGCGCAAUUGCAAGUUCCGACGGAACCGAGCACCGGAUGCCGCGGGAGGCCGAUUGCAAGUGUCGACAAGCAAUCGGAAUGCACUAACAGGUGGGUUGUGCUUACCGAAGCGACUAGGUCGCCCUCAUGUCGAAGAAAAAUAUGAUUUCCUAGUUGAUGCAUAUAAUGGGUUAAAUGCUAUAUGAUGCAUGUGAUGUGAAGAUUGGGUAAAUGCAUAUAAUGUGAGAAAUGUAUAUUACAUGAUAAUUGCAUUGAAUAUAAUGCAUGUUAGUGGACAAUGGCAAAUUAAUAUAACAAAUGUUAGAGAGAUGCAUGAACUAAAUGUUAGAGAGAUGCGUGAAAAUGGUGUUGUAUGAAUGCAUAGGCUAUAUUAUGCAAGUUGGAACAUAUGCAUGUUAAUGUAUUUGUGGACUAUGUUGAGUAACAUAUGCUAAUUAACAUAUGCAUGUUGACUUGGGUCUAAAACUCUUGGAUGAUUAGAAAACUCGACAUUGGAAAUACAANUGUUUAACACAAUGACCCAGCCCAAACUGGGCAUUUUCGGGUGCUGGGACGGGUCCCAGGCAGUGAGAGACCGGUCCCCGAAAGGCCAGAAUUUCUGCAUUCCAGACUUAGCCAAAUUUUCAGCAUUUUCAGCCUUCGGGUCCGUUUUUUUCGCUCGUUUUCGCUCGUUUGACCUCCGAUUCGUUUCAAAUCGAACCGCGACUUUCCAAACAUGUUUUCGAACAUGUUUUCAUCAUCUUUUCAUCCAUGCCCUUGCUAGAUUUAGUCCAUGGUCCAUCAUAGCCUUUCAGGCUCCGUUUUCGCGCCCUACGCGCAUUGAAGCAACCGAAUGCUUCCGAACUUCACCGUAACCAUUCUAACGGCUUUCCAUGCUAACAUACACCAUAACUUCAUAAUUACAGAAGUUUGGUAUGUUACAUUCUCCAUCCCUUAAAAAGAGUUUCGUCCGCGAAACUCAGAUCCAAACCACAAUUCCUCUCAUCAAACAGAUGAGGACAAAUCCACGCACUACGGCUAGAGUGUCCUAGGAUUUCACUCUAUGCGUUCAUUUCGACGAUCAUCUAUCUACAGAACCACAUCGUUCUGUAAUGUCCUCUCUUCAUGAGUCCAGAAUGCACAUCACUUGGCUUUCCUAAGUCACUUUCUCAAGUAAUGGUGCAUUCCCCCAGUCUCGGCGGUAAUACUGGCUUACAAGUCACCGUAACCACACACUCCAAUCCUCAUAGGGUUCACUGUACCGAGAACUAACCUUUCCUCGACACGAACCCAAUCACCCCACAUGGGUGACACUGUCACCAAAUGUCAUAUCUAACCGCGAAUUCACGACUUCGCCGGCGCCUAACAGCACAAUUUAGCUAUCGCAAUUGUGCACGGUGAACCUUCUUCUCUUCCCAAUCCUAGAGCGACUCUUUCGCUCACCAUAUUCUAACGGAUAGGGACCGACCUACCCUUCCAGUGAAAGUCUCAAGUACCAUCGCCAUAUUAUUACUGGCACACUUUCCCAACCUCACAGUUAAGCACCUAGGCUUUAAACUCAUCUUGUCACCCUCGACUAACCAUCAUCCCGAGGAUGAAAUGCGGUACAUAAUUAGCAUACCGUUUACCUUUCAAAUUUCCACCAGUUCAAUUAAUAGUGCGAAUCGAUAUCCAACGAUUCACCAUAUUCCAAUACCAAUCCCGAUCGAUCACACGAGGGACUUAUUUCGCCUCAAUUGCCACACUAGCUCAACUCUUUUCGGUUGGCACAUUUCAACAUGGGCGCUCUUAAUUGCCUCUUACCAUUCAACCAAUCAUUGCCCGCACACUCUACUCGUCGGGCCAGGGUCGUCAUUAAUCACCCUCACUAAACGACGUCAACCGCCAGACACCACUCUCCUUCGAGAGCAAUACCACCUAUCGAUUCGAGUGGUUAACCGUCACUUCUCAUACAUACAGGUAGACCUCCUCGAUCCACACGAGAGUCCACCAAAUGGUAUUCUACCAUUAUCGCCACUCAAGAGUCUAUCUCGCCAAGUAUGACUCUUUAUUACAUCCACACUCUCCGGUGAACCUCACUCAGGUUCUUCAAUCUGCAUCACUUCACACGACAUUUAUAGUGCAUCGCUCAACCGCGGAUGCUCCAACCGCACAUGGACUUCGGCUCUACAGUGAGACGGCUCAUUUCGGCACAUCCACCAACUUUGGUUCCCUAAGAGCCCAGUCUUUCCAAACCUCACGUGGCUUAAACCACCCCAACGUCUAUUGGAGAACAUCUCCAUUUCUCUAUCACGUCCCAACAUCGCAUCACUUUCACGAUGAGUUCCCGCGAACACUUCGUUCGAGCAUCCAAUCUUAACUCACCGACAACGCCAGACUUGGCGAUCCCAACUUGCGAGCAGUAUGACCGAGCCUCCGCUCCAAUGGUCACUACGCUCAAACCACCAAGACCCUAUCGAUCAAUUAGAUCGCUUAUCUUAAUUACCACAGGUGGUCCAUAGACCAACCAUCCAACGUAGGCUUACCGCCAACCCGUCUCGAUACUAUGCAGCGUCUCUCAUUCGCAACGCAGACCCAAGCAUCACUUGGCGAAAGUCCUCAUUUGAGACUUCGCACACACUCCAAUCAGGAGACCUCAACCACUCCAUAUCUUUGGGUCAUAAUUACACUUACGACUCAUUAUAACGAGCCAUGUUCACCUCUAUUGGCAGUUAAACAUCUAAGCCCUCUCAAUUUUCAUAAUUAUAAACAGCCCUUACUGGGCCAUUCCUGCAGUCGAGGACCAGUCUCUCCCCGAUGCAACCGGUCUCACGGGGACCGGUCCCUCGCCGAAGAACUGGUUCCCGAGAGCUUGAUUUCCAGGACUUAGCCGAUUUUUCUCCUCUGUUCGGCUGCUGCGCGCACGGGGACCGGUCUCUCCCCGCAGGGACCGGUCCCCGAGAGCCCAAAUUCUGGAACUUCACCAGAAUUGCAGUUUCGCUCUCUCGGGUCCCCAUACACCAUAAGUAUAGGCUCCAAAGCACUCUUAGCCUACACCAACUCAUUCCAUUCCGCGUUCCGCUCGUUUCGACGGAACUCGGCACAACAUAUAGGGAUGUGAUACGCUACACUUGUACCUUAUACUUGAGCUCUUAUGCUUACGAUACACACGCAUGAAUUUUCCUCAGCAUUGUUGAGGUACCACUCGGCCACUCGCCAAAACUCGGCGAUUGCUCAACUAUCUCCACCACAACGGGGACGUUACAACCACCAGUCGAGCCCUGGGAACAUCACCCGAACUCUUGAACCGCAGGGUCAUCCUCAAGCAUCCCGACUUAACUCUCACAAUUUCGCUACUCACAUUGCCUAGAGAGUUAGUCCAUCAACUCCACCUCUAUCUCGAACUUAACUCUCGGCUCGCAACCGCCACUUGCCGGUCUAAUCCAAUCACACCUAUCCACUGGGUAGGCGAUAUCACUAUUACGCAUGCAUACCAGGGGAUUAAUUUUAUCCACAAUCUCUAUCUCAACUAUACUUAUGCAUGCAACAUUUCGAAUCCACCUUAGAUCCGGUCAUACAACCUCUUCCGACGCACCACUCCUGCUACAACACCCCCUGUAGCAGUGGAUUCCAUAACUAGGGUCGCUUGCUCAUAGCCACUUGACGCUCAUCGCGAACCCUCCGAUCGUAUCACCGAUCUUUCAUACUCUCCAGACCAAGCCGCAGGCGGCACACUCAUAAGCGACCUCAAAAACAGAGAUCGACGCCAUCACUAAGGUCCGGCUAUCCACCAACAGUACUCAACCCUUAUUCGGGUCGGUUGCCAACACCAACCACAUCAUCUACCCCGCAACACCCUAUGGCGUCUGGUAGGAACCACCACAACCAACACCUCCCUACAAGGUCAACAAAAGACCUCGGGAAUGAUAUCCACAACUUUCUCCGGGUCGCCAAAAAUUUGAUGGACCACCCGAUCCGUUCAUCAGUCGCGUCACUCAUCACUUCGCAUCCAACCGAUCUGCGCUCCUCUUGGGCACAACAACACCUCAAUUCGCUCCCACACGCACAAAUCCUCCAAAAAGAACUUCCACGGAGUCAUUCCACAUAUGUCCGUCCCGCGGAUAUCAUUCCGUCAAAAUAAGCGGAUCAACUUCCUUAGGAAACCAUCCACCGUUCUCAUGAGCCUCCAAUCCCUCUAUUCCUUGUGCAUUGCAGCCUCCUGCUGACAUUGCACCACAUCGGCUCGUCACUUUGCCACUACGACUAGUACGAUCAAUAGACUUCAGAGCCCCGAGUCUCCACUAUGCUCGGCUAACUCAUGAACAUCACUUGUCCCGGUCCACAACAAUCUCCUCAAAGAUCGGCCACGCGUAACCACCGAAUGCACAACAACUCAACCCUCAAGGUCAAGCACGCGACACCAACACGCAACACUAUCCACGACUCAAAUCCAGGCGAAAGUCAUGCAAGGCAGCCUAUUUUCAUUACUCGGUUUCGUGUUGUGUGCACCCAACACGAACACUCCAUAAUGAAAAUACACUACACCUUGGAUCCACCUCUAACAUCCGUUAUAGAGGCAUACCAAACACGACCCAAUUAGUUAACCUUUCGCCACAAUUUCAAAUCNUUACUCGGUUUCGUGUUGUGUGCACCCAACACGAACACUCCAUAAUGAAAAUACACUACACCUUGGAUCCACCUCUAACAUCCGUUAUAGAGGCAUACCAAACACGACCCAAUUAGUUAACCUUUCGCCACAAUUUCAAAUCCUUGUUACAUUUCAAGAACCUAAAGCCUUAUGGUUUCCAACCUAUGGUCCCUAAGUCCAUCCUAGACUUUUGCUUUCACUUGCUCUGACACCACUAUAUCUGUCACGCCCCGUGUCACGCCCCGCCCUGAAACCACUACCAAUUUGGCACGGCUCGGCCGCGGCGGCGGACCGCCGAACGGACAGCACCUCCCUUGUCCGCCCAAGGCUCAACGACAGGAAUGUGUACAAGAAUUGACACAGGACUUUAAAUUCUAAACAUACACAUUCAACGAGGGCACAAACAGUGCCAACAACAAGAAGAGCAAGUAAUCCACAAGAUAUACGAGUGAAAUAAAGAGAGUACUUUACUAACUAUUACAAUAGUUGCAUUCAUUACAUCAUUUUUUUCACCCAAAAUACAUAGCUCUCCAAAUCCUCACCUACAAUGCAUCUCUCUCUAUACAUAGGGGACUAAUGCAAAAAGGAAAGCUACUAUACUACCACGGUCUCACUGGUCGGGCGCGACGCCCUUGCCGCGGUCCUCUCUCUGCAGCCCUGAACCUACCACUGAAAAUAGAGUGGGGUGAGAACUAUCUUCCAUAGUUCCCAGUGUGCUCGGCCGCCGACUCUGCCGAUCUCCCCACUAGGUCCAAGUGGGCACAAGUAACAACAGAUAGAUAGAUAUGUAUCUGAAAGCUGUAAAUGCGGUAGUAGGAAAACUAUGCUACUAUGCCCAUAAUCAUGAAUAUGAAUGCAUGCAUCAUAUAAUAAAGGUUUGCUACCAUGCUAACAAUUUCGAUCCAUAUUCGAAUAGCAAUGUUCAAUGACAUUCAUAAACCUUUAGCCUUUUUCAUUUACCCAAUCUGUGGCGAGGCCCUAGGGCUCGCCCAUGACUCACCUUCAAAUCCCAAAGUGGGGAGGGAGCUCCAAGUGCACCCAAGCCCGGGACCGUCUGCGGACCUCCAUGUGGUCCGGACCUCCAAGUGGUCCUAGUCGCGCGACACUCCGGAGUACUCGACGACAAUCCCCUCCAUGUGGGGAUUGGAUGGCUAUACCAUCCUAAACGCAGACUGUGAGCUAGAUCUAUCCUCUCCAAGUGAGGAUACACUGUAACUAGGGUCAACACCCAAUCCAAUCCUCUCCAAGUGAGGAGGCUCUACAACUAGAGUCAAUAACCCAAUCGAAUCCUCUCCAAGUGAGGACGCCCUACACUAGGGUCAACGACUAUCGCGGAAUCAUCGGUUCCCGACAUUCAUGCAAUGCUAUUUAGUUUUCUAAAUUCAUUGUUCACAAGGCAUUUUCUAAGGGAUCCACCUAUCCCUAGGUCCAUCGACCUCUAGUGUUAUUUACACUACAUUAAUGCCACUCGUUAUCAUUCAAUGUUUGGAUGCCACUCGUUUGUUCUUUAACAAUAACACUACUUUCUAUGUCAUCAACACCCCCAUCGGGUUCAUCUCUAUCUUUAGCAUCAUAGGAUCCACCUUCCGACCCAAUCCUCACCUAUCUAGUUACCAAGCGUUCCAAGUACACUAGGUCAUCAAUUAGAAAGCAUAAGGAAUGGAGCUACUAUGCAAUCCUACAAUGCAACAUGAAGAGAUGAGAUUAAAUGCAAUCUAAGACAUAGAAAGGAGUUCGAAAGUUUCGGAUGACACCCCCCACCUUUAAUCGAUGUAGAGGUUUCGGAAAUCUCUCUCGGCGAGCUUUACGAAAAGGCUUUAGCCUUCCUCGCCCGAAUCAACACUAGCCUGGCCCGAUUUGCCGAGAACUUCACGUCGGUUCGCCGAAUGCCAAAAUCGACUUCGCCCCCGCGUUUUGGGACCUAUCAAUAGGGUUUCCAAGGCUUCAAAUGAGAUCAAUCUCAUACUUUUACAAAAACCCCAUUUUGAAGCCCUAGAUUUGCACCUAUAGCAAACCACCUAAUAAAUCCCUAGAUCCUUAGGAUUGAUCUAUUUAGAACCUUGCUUAGGUUCCAUUUGACCCAUUCCAAGGCAUAAAACCCAAAAACCCUAAGUUCUAGAAGCUAGGGUUGUAGCUUACCACUUGAGCUACACCAAUGGGAAGAGGAGAGGGAGAGGAAGAUGCUCCUAGCCUCCUUUUUCUUCUCCUCCUUCUUCUUCUUCUCCUCCUUCUUCUUCUUCUCUUUCUUCUUCUCCUUCUUUGUUAUCUCUAGAGAGAGAGAGAGCAAGAGAGCAAGAGAGAGAGUGAAAUGAGAGAGUGUGAGGGAGAGAGAGGGCUCAGCCCACUCAAAUAAAAGCCAUUUUGCACAAAAGCCCCUCAACUUUCACUCCUGCGUACUGCUCUCACUAGGCUAUUUUCGCGCGGAGGGACCGGUCUCCCCGACUUGGGACCGGUCCCCGAGGGCUUCCCUCGGGCGCACGCGUUCGGGAACCGGUCUCUCCUCGGGAGACCGGUCCUCACCUGGGAGACCGGUGCCCGAGAGCUCGAUUUUCAGGACUUAGCCAAUUUUUGGCAUCUCUCGCUGGAACCACGUUCGGGAACCGGUCCCUCCCUGCCAGGGACCGGUUGCAUCACGCAACCCCGCUACACCCAGCCAGGGGAACCGGUCUCUCACCUGCAGAGACCGGUCCCCGAGAGCAAUAUCAGCCCAAUGAUGCAAUUUGCCUCAUUUGCUCUCGCGGACUCAACUCCAAGGCACUUUUUGUGCUUUGAACAUUCCCAACUCCCACAAAGGGUAUACUCUCGACAAUUAGUCGAUCCUGGAUGAAGUACAAUCCUCACAUUUCGAGAAUUCACUUCCUUACACCCCGCGACCGCCAAUUUGGUCGGUUCGGGCACAUCAACAGACGCCGAACGGACAGCACCUCCCCUGUCCGCCCAAGGCUCCUACAGUACAUGUAUAACAUAGCAAUUCAAACAUAAUGAAUGCAAGUAUAUACGGCUUGCACGAGGGCAAGCAACAACCAAACAUAAGUGAGAGCAAUCUAACUAUUACAUUUAUACAUUGUAUCUUGAUCAUUUUCAAUCAAAUACAAAGCUCAUACAUUUCUUUACAUUCAUUCAUCUCAAUUUACAAUUUCACCUCUCAAAGGAACUUAAUACAUUUUCACAUGUCACAUGAAUUUAUUACAUUUACAUUUUACAUUUUACAUAAUCGACAUAAUAGAUGAAAUAUACAAAGGUGCCUCUAUACACAUAAAGGUAGCACACUACCUUGAGCACGAUAACCACGCCACGAGCCCCGAUCGUCCCGCUCGCGCUAGAACCUGCAUGGUUAGUGGGAUGAGAACUAGAAGAAGUUCCCAGUGGGUUCGGCCACCGACUGCGCCGAUUCGCCCACUAGGUCUAUUUCAGGCAUAUGUAUUUCAAUAAGGAAGGAUAACAAACCAACUAAUGCACUUCUAAUACAAUGCCUGCAAGAAAGCAAAUCACAGAUAGAUAUUCAUAUUCAAAUACAUGAUGAUUAUGCAUGCAUGUCCUUUUCACUUUCCUAUGGUCAACUCGGGGUGCUCCUGGUUUACCCCAACACACAGUCCACACACUUUCCUUUGGCCUUUACCCAAUCAACCAUGGGGUGCUCCUGGUUUACCCCAACUCACAGUCCACAUAUCCAUCUAACGGGGGAGGCACAAAGCACUACCACCCGAAGGAUCUUCGCCGGGCAUGUCGACCCGUGGUGUUUUCAUCACUCCGGAGUACACCGCCUGUGGAGGAGCGACCUCCCACAAGCCGGAACCAAUACAUGUGAGUAUGAUCCCCUCCUCAAUUUGAGGAGGUAUAGCCAAACCUGUCUCAAUGCCACAAUGCCGAUGAAAGGUCUUUACCUAUUCAUGCGUAUACUACCAUUUCCCAAUAUCACAAUGGUCCUGAUGCCACAAUAUCGAUGAUAGGUCUUUACCUAAUCAUGUAUGUCACUUUACUAAGCCACAAUAGUCACAAUGCAUAGAAUGGUCUUUACAACUUUAACCAUGAUGCCACAAUACCGAUGAUAGGUCUUUACCUAAUCAUGUAUGUCACUUUACUAAGCCAUAAUGUCCACUAAUGGGAUAGUCAAUAUUUCACAAUGCUUUAAGGUUUUACCUUAUCUAGCACAAUAUGUUCUCGGUGCCAAUCAUGUCACUAGAGUCAAUGUCGCCUUUAUUUACUAUGGAUCAAGUCUUUUCUCACUUUCACAUACAUAUAGGGUUGUUCAUUUUCUCGUUCUCAUGGCUCUACAACAUGUUUGCAAUGUUCAUAAACAGAUAAUUGAUAUAAUCAACAUUUAUCUCAUUACCCUACAUGCAUGAGUACAACAUUAUCAACAUGCUCAAAGAAGCGACAUAGACAUAGAAAGAGAUCCGGUGUUUCCGGAUAGCACCCCCCCACCUUGUAGGAAUGCCGAGAAGCCCCGAUUCCAUUUUCACGAUUUUUAGACACCAACGCCGCGAGCUGCGGCCAUCUGUACCAAUUUAGCUUGUUUCUUCAAUAUCUUCGUACCGGCUCGACGAAUCGACGAACCGAGCGCACCAACGUGUUCGUUGACCUAUCAAUUAGGUUAACAAGAGAUCAAACUUAAGUUAGAUCUCAACUUUACAAAAUUCCAUUUUCUAACCCCUAGGGUUUUCAUCUUUAUGAAAUAACCCCCAAGCACAUGGAAAUCCAUGUCUAAAUUUACCAUAGCUUCAUCUAGAAGCUAGAUCUAAAGAGAAAUACUCAAACCCUAACAUUAAAACCAUAGAACCCUCAAAUCUUAGGUUACUUAUCUUAGAUCCAAGCUUUCUUCCAAGCUAGGUUGCCAUGAGAGGGUUCCUUCAUCACCUAGCAAGCUUUUCUCCACCAUGGUUUCACCAUUGGAGCAUCUCAAGGAGGGAGAGGGAGAGAUCUAGAGAGAGAGAGAGCUCUCAUGUUGGUGUUGGAGAGAAAGAAAUGAGGGCUAAACCUCAUCUCUCCAACAUAUAACCUCAUCCAAACACAAUUGCACAUAACCCGCCACACCCCUCAAUGUUUAACACAAUAACCCAGCCCAAACUGGGCAUUUUCGGGUGCUGGGACCGGUCCCAGGCAGUGAGAGACCGGUCCCCGAAAGGCCAGAAAUUCUGCAUUCCAGACUUAGCCAAAUUUUCAGCAUUUUCAGCCUUCGGGUCCGUUUUUUUCGCUCGUUUUCGCUCGUUUGACCUCCGAUUCGUUUCAAAUCGAACCGAGACUCUCCAAACAUGUUUUCAAACAUGUUUUCAUCAUCUUUUCAUCCAUGCCCUUGCUAGAUUUAGUCCACGGUCCAUCAUAGCCUUUCAGGCUCCGUCUUCGCGCCCUACGUGCAUUGAAGCAACCGAAUGCUUCCGAACUUCACCGUAACCAUUCUAACGGCUUUCCAAGCUAACAUACACCAUAACUUCAUAAUUAUAGAAGUUCGGUAUGUUAUAGAAUGAAUGAAUGUAAUAACUUAGGAUGUGUUUAUGUUGUUUGAUACCUUCGUUAUGCAAUCGUUAUAUGUUGAAUACUGUUCCUGGUUGGAAUCUAUUGUAAUUGUAUUGAUUGCGACGCCUUAGACGUACAGGGGAAACUCUGUCCGUUCGGCGGUCUGUCGGCGUGCCGAACCUGACCAAAUAGGCGGGCUCGGGGCGUGACACAAUACUACUCAAAUUCGAAUUGGGCAUCAUUCUAACCCGAAUUCAGAGCUUCCCCAAGUUGCUCUCAGCUCAAUUCUCUUCUCCUCAGCUGAAAUUCUUUCUCGGCAACUCUACCAGGCCAAAAACAUCAAGUCUGCCAGCUCUAGCAGCAAGAAACACUUAUGUAGAUCAUCUCUAAGUCAAUUAACUUGACUAAAAUCAGAUAUUAACCAAGCUUACCUUAAUUAGAUGCUGUACCAAGUUGCUCUCAGCUUCUUAAACCUUCCUCUCAGCUCAAUUUGUCUGCACUUCUCCACUUUCUUCUUAACCUACUUACUUCUACGGUUGAGAAAGAAAGAAAGAGAGAAUUAGAUAAAGAAGAGAUAAAGAGAUAAUGAUCCCAACAUCUAAGCUGGUGCUGGGUACCUGGGGUUAAAAGAUAAGACCAAAAAAUCGCACUUUAACCCCCCAAAGGACUGAAGUUGCAUUGUAGUCCAGCAGUUCGCAGUUCAGUCCCUGCAGGUUCACAAAUCAGUCCCUGCAGGUUUACAGUUCAGUCCCUGCACUAACAGCAGCUGGCAGCAGCAGUUUUUAGCCCCUUUUGCGCAUCUAAUUUACUUCGAGUCCUUUCAAACACUUCCAAAAUACACUAAUAAACCUCCACAAGCUACUAAUUUAGCUCGGAAGCAACCAAUUCCAUUUUAGCAUUUAUCUUGAUAAUUUCACGCCCGACUUGCAUCAAACACUCAAUUACCUCCAGAAAUUAUUCCCAUACCUCCAAAAUCACUCGGGAAUGAUGCACAUCCAAUUCAAACUUCACUUUCAUCUUCCAAAGCAAAGUUAGCGUCGCAACUCAAAAUUUCAGUACACUACAAGGAUGGACCUAGGAGACCCUAGGUUGGCAACCUUAAGGCUAUAGGUGCGUGAGUGAGACGUGAACCUAUACCGGUGGCGGAAGUUGAUCGAUUGGGUCGAAGUUGAUAGUAUGUCUCUAAUGGUUGAUAGAGACGGAUUCGAGUGGUAUUAUUUCUCGACUCGAAGUGGUUGUGUUGGCGGCCGACAACAUGACGCUAAGAGUCUAGAAUAAUUACACUUGUGUGCUUCCGCCCGAUUUCGAUGUUGAGUUGUUUGUCUCGUAGUUGCAGGAAGUUAACGGGUUAAUGUGAUUCACCAAUUUGUUGCAUUUCAGGAGCUAUGGCACAGAGGGGACGCCCUAAGAUUAGAUCCACUCCGGCACCACCUCCCGAGGUACUGGAGUGGAUCUAGUCUCAGGAGCUAUGAUUACGCUAACUUUGCUCUGGAAGAUCAAAGUUAGCGUCGCAACUCAAAAUUUCAGUACAUUACAAUCUACCCCCGUUAACAAAAGUUUCAUCCGCGAAACUUAGAUACACUUAUAUAUCUCCAUUUAUCUAAUUAACCAGAUGAGAAUAGAUCUCAAUGUUCACCCAUAAUAGAACUAUACAAUUCUGUAAUUUUCUCAUUCUCACAUAUCCAGAGUGCACAAUCAUUCAUUCCAUCUAGUAACUCUGCAGCUCUUACUUUGAUACCCAUGAGGAGUUCUAUUCAACAAUUUGAAAUUCAUUACGCAUUUCCUUACAUACUUCACAUCUAAGGGCAAUUUCCUUAUGCUCACCAUCCCCUAACGAAUGGGGGUUAAUCCAAUCCUUUAGAUUUGGCACCAUAAUCUCAUAAUUUUUGGUAACCAGUUGUAUCAAUUAUCUUAAUAUAAUUACUCAUGCACGUCGAGAAUAUACCUUGUUCUUCCAACUAACUAUUAUAAGUUCUCUAAAUCCCAAUGGCAAUGCAAGUAAACAUUCAAUGACUUACUAUACUCCAGUCUCAUUUACUAUCAAAGACUUAUUUGCCUUGGUUACCACACUAAUUCAAUUCUCGCAUAAGUAAUAUGCUUUAGAAUUAGCAUUCUCCUCAUACAAUCAACAACUACCCGCACCAUCAACUUAACAUGCCCCUGUCAUCAUUCUUAUCAUCAAUAGAUGAUAACCAAUUCAUACCAAUAAGCAUUAUUUUACUUCAAAGAAUAGUACUAUCUGUUUUUCUCACGGUGGGGAUCAUUCCUGCAUGGCGCUUACUCGAAAAGUCCGUAGACUACCUUGAUUCAUAUACAAACUUAUCAGGUAACAUCUACUAUACCCAUUACUCUCUAAUGGAGUCUACUUUGAUUUCUCAACUGGCAUCGCUACCUGCGAUAUCGCAAUACACUGCUCAAUUGUGAGUGUUUAAUCACACACAAAUUUUCACUCCUCGACAAAGGGCUCAUUCUAACAUCUCCACAACUCCAAUGAUUUGAAGGCAUAAUCCUCCAAAAUCUCACGUGGCUUCCACUACACAAUAAUCUCAAAGAAAAUCUUUCACCACGAGUCUCUACGAACACCUCUUUCGUGCCAUUGAUCUUAAUUCUUCAUUAGCGUCUAACUUGGUGAUUCAAAAUAAGCAAACAGUAGGACCGAGCCUUCGCUCCCAAGGUCACUACUCCCGAUUCACAAUACUACAUUAACUCUCGCAUAUCGAGAGCAAUCGGUUAAAUUGCUUAUCUUAAUUAUCAUAAAUCGGUUCACAAACCACCGAUUCGCCGUAGGUCGAUUACCUAACUCAAUCGCGACAUUACAUAACGUCUCUUGCUCGCAAGCAUAGACCCAAUCAUCAUAAGACAAAGUCUCCCUUGAGACCUCGCACACAUACUCCAACUAGGAGCAAUCCAAAUUCCAAACCCCUACUAUUAUAUCGUUGGGUCAAACUUACACCUUCAGUGUAUCACUAACCACACGGUCCAAUAUGUGGCAUACCCCAUCACUGAUCUAAGCUCGGACUACCGUCCUGACCAUAACCUCUGCCCUACCCAUAGGUAUCGGGCUGCUGUCAUACAUAGUGGAUUGCGCCUGGUCAAAUGGCCUCAGGCCCCAAAGUCCACACAUGGUCCAGGUACGGAUCGUCCUCAAGUAAUAUCCUCAAUCGUCGUCGCUCACGAUAUGCUCAACAGAGCAAUCCACAUCACUAUUGGCUCCUAGACACCUAGUGCGAGCCACCAACCCAAUAAGUGAUCCAUGGCACGCUUCACACCUCGCAACGCUCAAGUGCUACUGCCAACACACUCUUGGCCGAUCCACAAUCCACACUCUACGAACGUUUAUACUCAAGCGUCCUAUACUACUACUCCUCUCACUAAACAUCACACGCUUGGCACUCCGCCUACGCCUACACAUACAAACACAAAUUUCCUCAUCCUAGUUAAGGUACAACUUGAUUAACUCGCCCAAAACCAGGCGAUCAUCUAACCAAUCUACAACAAGGACGCUAUCACUCUACUCGAUCUAUCGGAAUACCAUCCGAAUUCUCGAGCUCUAGAGCGUCUUCUAGCGUUCCAAUCUAAUUCUCACUAUCACCCAAAUGCUUUAAAGAGUAGGUUCACCAUUUCCAUCUUCAUCCCGAGCCCCAACAUUGGCUCACAGCAAACCACUCACUUGCACUAUCCAACCGCCUAUUCAAACGAUAGGCGAUACACUUUCUUCAUCUAUGCACGCUAGGGUAUUAUAUCUCCCCAAAUCCAAGUUACACUCUUACAUGUACCGCUCGGAGUUCGCAUCGUUUCCAAGUAUACAAUCUUCCUACUGAAGUCAAUUUACUAUAACUUCACUUAUCCAACAACACACGCGGCCUUGCUGGUGAAAGUUAUCACAACCAUUCCUCUCGAAGAAAAAGGUUAACCAUUAGACCUUUCCGAAUUCUAGGAUGACGACUGCAACUCUCUUCCGGGUAUUGCUUAACACUCGAUUGACCACCCGAACCAAAUAUAAGUCGCUUACCCUUCAUUCUCACUAAUCAAUUCGCACCCCUUCCGCGCGAGAUAUCACCUAACUUCAACCACAAGGUCCAACUCAAUACUUCAUCGAAAAUUGUGAAUUAGGAGAACGUAUAACUUCUUUUAUCAAAGUUUCGAUAUAUCACAACCGGCCUCGUUCCCAAUGUCUCACACUAUAUACUAAGCACACUUCAGCAUGCAGAAAAUCCUUCUACAUACUUUUUCACCGAGCAGUCCCCCUGCUAUAACUCUCACAACUUAUCUGAAAGCUCAUUUGUCGUAUAUUCCAACAGCAAAUUCUAUAUCCUAUCCCAGAUACACAAAUCUUUCUAGGGAAAUAUUCCUGAAGCCAAUCCACAGAUCUCGACCCGCGAAUAUUCCUUUAUCAAAAACAGAUGGACUAAAAUUUUCUGAAGGCCACAAGGGUUAUCCACAAUUGCCCUCAUCUGCUUUCUAUACUGCAAAGCCAGAAGUCGAUUUACCCAAUUUCCAACAAAACGACCUCUAUCAUCACUUCCAGCUACCCACAACAAACCACAAAUGGCGCGGUUAUCAACUACGCCACAGCCUUCUGGUGUCCCCUGACUCAAUUCGCCAAAUACAAUACUGCUUCCCACUAACAUUGCACUACAACUAUUCAUCGCCAAAACCCUACCACGGGUGUGACAAACCGAUCCCAAUGCCUUGAGUUUCCUCCAAGCUCGGUUAACUCAAGGAUUCCACUCAUACCGAACCACAUUGAUCUCAUUAGAGAUCAACUACACAAAACCACUAAACGUGCAACAACGCGACCAAUUCAUGACCUUCAAGGUCAAACACGAAACAACUAUCGUCAACCCAACUCAAAUCAGGUGAAAGUCAUACAAGGGAGCCUAUUCUCAUCACUCGGUCUCAUGUUGUGUGCACCCAACAUGAACACUCCCUGUUAAGAAUACACUUCACCUUGAAUCCACCUCUAAGAUCCUUUUUAGAGGUAUACAACACACGACCCAAUCAGUUCAACAUUUCGCCACAUAUCAAGAUUCUCGUCUCUCACGAACCUAGAUCCUUAAUGGUUUUCCAUCCUAAGGUCCUAGGUCCAUCCAAUACUUUCACUUGCCUUGCUCUGAUACCAUUUAAUCUGUCACGUCCCGAGAACGCCAAUUUGGUCGGGUCGGGUCCGCACACAGACGCCAGACGAACAGAACCUCCUCUGUUCGUCUAAGGUUCAGCAAUAACAAUUAAACAUGUGUAAUGAAAUGCCCGGAAAAAAAUUUCAAUAUACAUGGCUUGCACGAGGGCAAGCAACACAAGCAAGUGUAAGUAAACUAAUUAAAGCAUUCAUACAUUGUAUCUUGAUUACUUUAAAUCAAAUACAAAGCUCACAUAAUUAUUAUAUUCAUUCUUCCAAUACAUACAUUGCCAUCUUUUAAAUGAAUAAUUUACAUUUACUUUCAUCAACUAUAAAUAGAUGAAAUAAAUAAGGUACAACUAUACUCAAUGGAUGUCCACUAUCUAUGGAACGCUGUCCAUACCACGAUCCUCGAUCACCCCGCACGAACUAGAACCUGCAUGGUUAGUGGGGUGAGUACUACUGAAAGUUCCUAGUGGGUUUGGCUGCCGACCUCGCCGACUCACCCACUAGGUUUAUUCAGGCAUAUGUAGGCAAGAAAAGAGAAUAGAUAGUAACCAGUUAUAACAUGUAACUACUACAAUGCCUGCACAAAGCUGAAAGAAACAGUAGACAAUAACUGAAAUUGAUGCAUGCAUGCUACUAAUAACCUUUACCCAAUCCAACUGGUUAACCAUUUGGUUACCAAUAACUCACUAACUAAAUCCCAAGUAUCGGGGAGACGCAAGCUACAUUCUGACGGGAUCGUCUACUGGGGAAGACGCUAGCUCCUAAUCCAGUUAAUGACUACUCCGGAGCUCAUCGCCCAAGGAGGAGCGACCUUACCUUGGGCAUUAGACUAUUAUGAGUAUGAUCCAAUCCUCGCUUAGAGGAUACACUGACAAUGACACUCUUUAACUAGCUCUUUAUGCUAGAUUUACUUGUCCAACUCUAGAUGCUAAUCAGUUCAUCUAGUUCUAAUGCCACACAUUUUACAAGCUCAUUGACUUUGUUUAACAUUUAUAACACUGGGUGCCACUCAUGCAAUCUAUUCACAAUGUAUUUGUCACUAUUUAAUAGUCCAGUACAAGUUCAUACAUCUAUAGGGUUCUAUGUUUACUAGUCAC